GAGGGAAAGUUGAAAAGGACUCUGAAGAGAGGGUUCAAGAGAGCGUGAAACUGCCACGGGGAUAAAGCGGAUACAUUAGCGUAGUCGAAAGGGGAGAUACAGCUCGUCGGCCGUCGACCUCUAGCGGUAUUCGUCUAUCGUUCGGAAUUAACCCCGAUACAUUCGUUUCGUCGAUUUAUCGUCGUUUCGUUUCGUCGGUUCUUGGUUCCAAUCGCGAUAGCUACCCUAGUAAGCGUACGUUCAUCGACGAGUCUAAUUCACACCCUAGUAGGCCGCCGCGACGGUUGGAAGGUUGUCUAAGGCCAUUUAGAGAGGUCGCGGGAACCUUUCGUUUGCGCGUAUAUAUAUCGGGGGGAAUCCUCCUCGCUUAUAUAUCUGUCGUCGACGAAGGGGGACGCUCUCGGGAAUUUACUGACGGACUUUCCGACCGGAGAAAUAAACGUUGAGCUCUCUCUCUCGCGAGAAAGAGAUAACGUAAGUGCGGCGCUCGUAGCGACCAAUUUAUCCGUCCCGUCUUGAAACACGGACCAAGGAGUCUAACAUGUACGCGAGUCAAAGGGCUUACUAAACCCUAAGGCGUAAUGAAAGUAAAUUAACGGAUUGAUCCGCGCUCUUCGACAGAAGACCGGCGCAAAUCCGGGACCCGUCUUACUGCUUCUAUUUAUAGUCGUUCACGUGGCGGGUACCUGGAGCGUACAUGUUGGGACCCCA
rnacentral:rRNA from 1 species